AGCGAACGCUGGCGGCAGGCCUAACACAUGCAAGUCGAACGAACCUUUCGGGGUUAGUGGCGGACGGGUGAGUAACACGUGGGAACGUGCCUUUAGGCUCGGAAUAACUCAGGGAAACUUGUGCUAAUACCGAAUGUGCCCUUCGGGGGAAAGAUUAAUCGCCUUUAGAGCGGCCCGCGUCUGAUUAGCUAGUUGGUCGAGGUAAUGGCUCACCAAGGCGACGAUCAGUAGCUGGUCUGAGAGGAUGAUCAGCCACAUUGGGACUGAGACACGGCCCAAACUCCUACGGGAGGCAGCAGUGGGGAAUCUUGCGCAAUGGGCGAAAGCCUGACGCAGCCAUGCCGCGUGAAUGAUGAAGGUCUUAGGAUUGUAAAAUUCUUUCACCGGGGACGAUAAUGACGGUACCCGGAGAAGAAGCCCCGGCUAACUUCGUG
rnacentral:rRNA from 1 species